GCCUGGCUGGCUCAGUUGGUAGAGCAUGCAACUCUUGAUCUUGGGGUUGUGGGUUCAAGCCCCACGUUGGGUG
rnacentral:tRNA from 1 species